rnacentral:misc_RNA from 1 species
UUUCCGUAGGUGAACCUGCGGAAGGAUCAUUAUCAUGUAAUUCAGUCCCCUUGGCUGUGUUAUAUAUAUACCCACUCUGUGUACCUUCUCCUGUUGCUUCCGCUGGGUGUGUAAUUCGCCCGGCGGAAGGGUAAAAAUAACCUCUGAGUAUUGAUGAAAUCUCUGUCUGAACCGAAUAGAAAGAAAAAUGUUAAAACUUUCAGCAACGGAUCUCUUGGUUCUCGCAUCGAUGGAGAACGCAGC